rnacentral:rRNA from 1 species
UCCGGGGGGGGCAAGCGUUGUUCGGAAUUACUGGGCGUAAAGGGCGUGUAGGCGGCCAACUAAGUCCGACGUGAAAUCCCCAGGCUUAACCUGGGAACUGCGUCGGAUACUGGAUGGCUUGAAUCCGGGAGAGGGAUGCAGAAUUCCAGGUGUAGCGGUGAAAUGCGUAGAUAUCUGGAGGAACACCGGUGGCGAAGGCGGCAUCCUGGACCGGCAUUGACGCUGAGGCGCGAAAGCGUGGGGAGCGAACAGG